UACGUGUGGGGCGAGCGUUGUUCGGUGUCACUGGGCUUAAAGGGCGUGUAGGUGGCUGUGUAAGUAAGGUGUGAAAGCCCUCGGCUUAACCGGGGAAUUGCGCCUUAAACUGCAUGGCUUGAGGGUCUCAGGGGAUAGGGGAACUCCAGGUGUAGCGGUGAAAUGCGCAGAUAUCUGGGGGAAGGCCGGCGGCGAAGGCGCGUAUCUGGGAGAUACCUGACACUGAGGCGCGAAGGCGUGGGGAGCAAACAGG
rnacentral:rRNA from 1 species